CCUAACACAUGCAAGUCGAACGGUAACAGGAAACAGCUUGCUGUUUCGCUGACGAGUGGCGGACGGGUGAGUAAUGUCUGGGAAGCUGCCUGAUGGAGGGGGAUAACUACUGGAAACGGUAGCUAAUACCGCAUAAUGUCGCAAGACCAAAGAGGGGGACCUUCGGGCCUCUUGCCAUCGGAUGUGCCCAGAUGGGAUUAGCUUGUUGGUGGGGUGACGGCUCACCAAGGCGACGAUCCCUAGCUGGUCUGAGAGGAUGACCAGCCACACUGGAACUGAGACACGGUCCAGACUCCUACGGGAGGCAGCAGUGGGGAAUAUUGCACAAUGGGCGCAAGCCUGAUGCAGCCAUGCCGCGUGUAUGAAGAAGGCCUUCGGGUUGUAAAGUACUUUCAGCGGGGAGGAAGGGAGUAAAGUUAAUACCUUUGCUCAUUGACGUUACCCGCAGAAGAAGCACCGGCUAACUC
rnacentral:rRNA from 1 species